rnacentral:rRNA from 1 species
GAUGAACGCUGGCGGCGUGCCUAAUACAUGCAAGUCGAGCGAACAGACGAGGAGCUUGCUCCUCUGACGUUAGCGGCGGACGGGUGAGUAACACGUGGAUAACCUACCUAUAAGACUGGGAUAACUUCGGGAAACCGGAGCUAAUACCGGAUAAUAUAUUGAACCGCAUGGUUCAAUAGUGAAAGACGGUUUUGCUGUCACUUAUAGAUGGAUCUGCGCCGCAUUAGCUAGUUGGUAGGGUAACGGCUUACCAAGGCAACGAUGCGUAGCCGACCUGAGAGGGGGAUCGCCCACACUGGAAGUGGGACAGGGUCCAGACUCCUACGGGACGCAGCAGUAGGGAAUCUUCCGCAAUGGGCGAAAGCCUGACGGAGCAGCGCCGCGUGAGUGAUGAAGGUCUUCGGAUCGUAAAACUCUGUUAUUAGGGAGGAACAAAUGUGUAAGUAACUAUGCACGUCUUGACGGUACCUAAUCAGAAAGCCACGGCUAACUACGUG